GACGAACGCUGGCGGCGUGCUUAACACAUGCAAGUCGAACGGAAAGGCCCUGCUUUUGUGGGAUGCUCGAGUGGCGAACGGGUGAGUAACACGUGAGUAACCUGCCCUUGACUUUGGGAUAACUUCAGGAAACUGGGGCUAAUACCGGAUAGGAGCUCCUGCUGCAUGGUGGGGGUUGGAAAGUUUCGGCGGUUGGGGAUGGACUCGCGGCUUAUCAGCUUGUUGGUGGGGUAGUGGCUUACCAAGGCUUUGACGGGUAGCCGGCCUGAGAGGGUGACCGGCCACAUGGGGACUGAGAUACGGCCCAGAGUCCUACGGGAGGCAGCAGGGGGGAAUAUUGCACAAUGGGCGGAAGCCUGAUGCAGCAACGCCGCGUGCGGGAUGACGGCCUUCGGGUUGUAAACCGCUUUCGCCUGUGACGAAGCGUGAGUGACGGUAAUGGGUAAAGAAGCACCGGCUAACUACGUG
rnacentral:rRNA from 1 species